rnacentral:rRNA from 1 species
GCUACGGAUGAACGCUAGCGGCAGGCUUAACACAUGCAAGUCGAGGGGUAGAGGAAGCUUGCUUCCUUGAGACCGGCGCACGGGUGCGUAACGCGUAUGCAACCACCUUUUUACAGAGGGAUAGCCCAGAGAAAUUUGGAUUAAUACCUCAUGGUAUAUAUCAUUCGCAUGUUUGAUAUAUUAAAGUUCCAACGGUAAAAGAUGGGCAUGCGUCCUAUUAGCUAGAUGGUAAGGUAACGGCUUACCAUGGCAACGAUAGGUAGGGGUCCUGAGAGGGAGAUCCCCCACACUGGUACUGAGACACGGACCAGACUCCUACGGGAGGCAGCAGUGGGGAAUUUUCCGCAAUGGGCGAAAGCCUGACGGAGCAAUACCGCGUGAGGGAAGAAUGCCUAUGGGUUGUAAACCUCUUUUUUCAGGGAGGAAUAAAAUGACGUGCACCUGAAGAAUAAGCAUCGGCUAACUCCGUG